GACGAACGCUGGCGGCGUGCUUAACACAUGCAAGUCGAACGGAAAGGCCCUGCUUUUGUGGGGUGCUCGAGUGGCGAACGGGUGAGUAACACGUGAGUAACCUGCCCUUGACUUUGGGAUAACUUCAGGAAACUGGGGCUAAUACCGGAUAGGAGCUCCUGCUGCAUGGUGGGGGUUGGAAAGUUUCGGCGGUUGGGGAUGGACUCGCGGCUUAUCAGCUUGUUGGUGGGGUAGUGGCUUACCAAGGCUUUGACGGGUAGCCGGCCUGAGAGGGUGACCGGCCACAUUGGGACUGAGAUACGGCCCAGACUCCUACGGGAGGCAGCAGUGGGGAAUAUUGCACAAUGGGCGGAAGCCUGAUGCAGCAACGCCGCGUGCGGGAUGACGGCCUUCGGGUUGUAAACCGCUUUCGCCUGUGACGAAGCGUGAGUGACGGUAAUGGGAAAAGAAGCACCGGCUAACUACGUGCCAGCAGCCGCGGUGAUACGUAGGGUGCGAGCGUUGUCCGGAUUUAUUGGGCGUAAAGGGCUCGUAGGUGGUUGAUCGCGUCGGAAGUGUAAUCUUGGGGCUUAACCCUGAGCGUGCUUUCGAUACGGGUUGACUUGAGGAAGGUAGGGGAGAAUGGAAUUCCUGGUGGAGCGGUGGAAUGCGCAGAUAUCAGGAGGAACACCAGUGGCGAAGGCGGUUCUCUGGGCCUUUCCUGACGCUGAGGAGCGAAAGCGUGGGGAGCGAACAGGCUUAGAUACCCUGGUAGUCCACGCUGUAAACGGUGGGUACUAGGUGUGGGGUCCAUUCCACGGGUUCCGUGCCGUAGCUAACGCUUUAAGUACCCCGCCUGGGGAGUACGGCCGCAAGGCUAAAACUCAAAGGAAUUGACGGGGCCCCGCACAAGCGGCGGAGCAUGCGGAUUAAUUCGAUGCAACGCGUAGAACCUUACCUGGGUUUGACAUGGAUCGGGAGCGCUCAGAGAUGGGUGUGCCUCUUUUGGGGUCGGUUCACAGGUGGUGCAUGGCUGUCGUCAGCUCGUGUCGUGAGAUGUUGGGUUAAGUCCCGCAACGAGCGCAGCCCUUGUUCACUGUUGCCAGCACGUUAUGGUGGGGACUCAGUGGAGACCGCCGGGGUCAACUCGGAGGAAGGUGGGGAUGACGUCAAGUCAUCAUGCCCCUUAUGUCCAGGGCUUCACGCAUGCUACAAUGGCUGGUACAGAGAGUGGCGAGCCUGUGAGGGUGAGCGAAUCUCGGAAAGCCGGUCUUAGUUCGGAUUGGGGUCUGCAACUCGACCUCAUGAAGUCGGAGUCGCUAGUAAUCGCAGAUCAGCAACGCUGCGGUGAAUACGUUCCCGGGGCU
rnacentral:rRNA from 1 species